rnacentral:lncRNA from 1 species
AAUAAUUAAACUUAUGCCAUUUUCACAUUUCAGGUAAUGAGAGGCCCUGAGAUCCCAGAGGGACCAUAUGAGAAUUCUGGACAGUGCUGAAGACUCUUACUUCCUGCAGACACAAGAGGAGACAGGACCAGAGGGUACGCCACCAAGGAAGGCCACCCAGCUGUGUGUGUCAGACCCAUUGCUCAAGGACGAGGAUGACCCGGCAGAUCGGGCAGGGGGCCAGGAGGAACUCCCGAGUGCCUUCUCAUCUUAG